GAGUUUGAUCGUGGCUCAGGAUGAACGCUGGCGGCGUGCCUAACACAUGCAAGUCGAACGAAGCACCUUUUGAGAUUCUUCGGAUGAUCGAUCGGUGACUGAGUGGCGGACGGGUGAGUAACGCGUGGGUAACCUGCCCUGUACAGGGGGAUAACAGCUGGAAACGGCUGCUAAUACCGCAUAAGCGCACGAGGAGACAUCUCCUUGUGUGAAAAACUCCGGUGGUACAGGAUGGGCCCGCGUCUGAUUAGCUGGUUGGCAGGGUAACGGCCACCAAGGCAACGAUCAGUAGCCGGUCUGAGAGGAUGAACGGCCACAUUGGAACUGAGACACGGUCCAAACUCCUACGGGAGCAGCAGUGGGAAUAUUGCACAAUGGGGGAAACCCUGAUGCAGCAACGCCGCGUGAGUGAAGAAGUAUUUCGGUAU
rnacentral:rRNA from 1 species